GUCUGACACUUUCUAACAGCUUAAUGAAAGCUGCCUUUUUCUGAUUAACUCUUUAAUGAAUGCCAAAGAGACUUAACUACAGACUGCAUUUUAGAAGCUAGCAUUUUCACAGCUACACAGGUAGAUGAAUCUGAUAGCAGAGAGCUUUGUAUUCAGCUAUUUCCUUUCUGCAAAAUUAGGUUUUUUAAGUCUACUCAUGCUGCAAAUACUUGUGCUGCUCCCACCACAGGGUUUUCAAAACAUCAAGAGCAGAUUAAGGAAAAGAAAACAUAAAACCUUCAUAUGAGAGCACAGUGAUUUCCCUUGUAACUUUCUGCAUUUGACACGAAACACAAAAUGGCAGACGCCUCAAAGACUGCCCUGCAGCAGGCAUGGAGACUCCAUUACAUUUAAAGGCACCGUACACAGGAACAAGAAAGGAGAUUGGCCUUCUGUGCUGUGAGUCAGGUUCCUUGCUCAGACUGUACCAGUCUUUAUCAAUUCUUUGCUACAGACUAAGUUUUCAACUUUUAGGGCCAUACAAGGCCCUUCUUUCCUUGCACAAGUGGUAUGUUGAUGCUGAUGGGAAUUAUUCACAUAGGUUGAGGGCACAAUAUGGCCCUUACUUUGGGAAGCUAUUGGGAAUUACGCUAGUUGACUAACUGAAGAACAGAUAACAUGCAAAUAACCUUUGGCCCCUUUAUAUGCCUUCAAAAAAGGGAAAUAACAGUGUUCAUGAUUCUCAAACUAGACAACAAAGCAUCCAGUGUAACCUUUGAAUGCUGUUUCCCAUCUACAGUCAGAUUCUAAUUAAAAAGACAAACAGUCAUUCACCAA